UGGCUGGGGGUGAAAGGCCAAUCAAACCGGGAGAUAGCUGGUUCUCCCCGAAAGCUAUUUAGGUAGCGCCUCGUGAAUUCAUCUCCGGGGGUAGAGCACUGUUUCGGCUAGGGGGCCAUCCCGGCUUACCAACCCGAUGCAAACUGCGAAUACCGGAGAAUGUUAUCACGGGAGACACACGGCGGGUGCUAACGUCCGUCGUGAAGAGGGAAACAACCCAGACCGCCAGCUAAGGUCCCAAAGUCAUGGUUAAGUGGGAAACGAUGUGGGAAGGCCCAGACAGCCAGGAUGUUGGCUUAGAAGCAGCCAUCAUUUAAAGAAAGCGUAAUAGCUCACUGGUCGAGUCGGCCUGCGCGGAAGAUGUAACGGGGCUAAACCAU
rnacentral:rRNA from 1 species